rnacentral:lncRNA from 1 species
CUUGUUCCGCCUCUAGUUCUAAACACUCUAAUAUUUAUCUCUUCAUACCUCAAAGCUCGUCAUUCUAAGUAUGAAAAUUAUUUCUAAGUUUAGUAAAAAAGCCCAAAUGGACAUAACGAUUCGAAUCCAAACACUAGAAUGAAUUCUGAACCUACGACUUGGGACCUUUUUCUUGUCAUUCAAGCAUCCAACAUGCUUAAUAUUUUUGGUCCUACGUGCAGUGGGUGAAGCAAGAAUUUCACCAAGGGAAUUUACAAAAAAAAAUAUAAAAAAAAUAAACGCGAAGAAACUAAAGGAAUUCACCAUCUAAUAAAUAUAUAAAAAAUAAAAAUUAACCUUUCGGCAAAGGGGAUUUCGGCAAAGGGGAUUUGGCUGAACCACUUCUGCCCACCUAGCUCCGCCCCUUCCUACGUGCAUGCCUAACAAAGGAAAUUAAAGUAAUUAAGGUGGUAAGUUUUCCAAGAACAUUACCACGGUACAACAUGUGAGACCGAUUCCGUACACUUAACUUUCUCCGGAAACUAUGAAAAACGGGUCACAUCUUUGGUAAUCUUUGCUGUUAAGGUAGAAGUCAUAUCUGAAAGAGAAGAAUGAGCACAUAGUAUUAUUAGACUUGAAAGACAAGUAAAAAGGACUUCACCAACAUGCAUGUGCAUUAAUAUGAGAAUGAUGGGACUAAAGAAUGUAAAGUCAAAGCAAAGGCAUGUGAGUUUGCCUACAAAUUCAAGGCAAAAAGUAUAUUUUAUGUCGCAAGUGAGAUGCUAGUCUUAUGUUUCAUAAUAGAGUUGAGAUGAGAUAUAUUGAACAAUUCACGGCUUAUCUACUGGGAAAACAAUGUGGACUUUGAGGGAAAGGUGACGAACGUGGGAAUAAUUGAAUGAGGUUCUCAGCUGAUAGGGAUAAUUCAAUUUCAAUAUAGAAAACAAAUUGUUUUUCUCUCAGCUACCUCAUCCCCACUUGCAGUGAUUGCAUGUGAGGUGGUUGCAUUAAACAAAACUGAGCUCCUAUUUAAGUAGCAGCUACUUUUCUUGGUUAACCCAUCAAAUUAUUAGAAACUCAUCCCAAUUCGAUUUCCUCAAUCUUAUUUCUACUUCUGCUACUUGCUUCUACAAAGGAUAUGGCCAAAUGUGGCAUUCUAGCACUGGGUUUCAUAAUAGGUUUCUUUAGCAUUUUCUUUAAUGCUAAUGCUUUCACAGCUUCAGGAUGGAUGAGAGCUCAUGCCACUUUUUAUGGUGGGGCUGAUGCUUCUGGCACAAUGGGUAAGUACCAAUAUUUUCCAAACAAACUAACCUCAAACUAGUUCACGUCGACUAUAUGAAUAUAGUCUGACUAUUUUUGUGUAACGUGCAACAGGGGGUGCUUGUGGAUACGGCAACUUGUAUUCGACAGGGUAUGGAACUAGAAGUGCUGCAUUGAGCACUGCCCUGUUCAACAGUGGAGGAUCUUGUGGGCAAUGCUACAAGAUCAUCUGUGAUUACAAAGCAGAACCACGCUGGUGCAAGAAGGGAGUAUCUGUUACUAUCACUGCUACAAAUUUUUGCCCACCAAAUUAUGCCCUUCCUAGCGACAAUGGAGGCUGGUGUAACCCCCCUCGACAACAUUUCGAUAUGGCACAACCUGCUUGGGAAAAGAUUGCCAUUUACAGAGGUGGCAUUGUCCCUGUAAUCUACCAAAGGUAGAAUAAAGCUUUCAUUGAAAAAUAGUUUCGCUUGGAUUUAAGGUUCUUGCUUGAACAAUAACAAUACUAAAAAUGAGUCUAACAUCUAUACAUGGACAGCUAUAAGAAUUUUUACAGCAUCAAUUUAUCAAAUCACAUAUAUAUAUGUAACUGUCCAUAAAAGUGGAAUAGUAACCUAGAAAUCAGGCAUGUACCAGCUACAAAUAAAAUUAUUUUUCUACUCUCUGUGUAUACAAGUUAAAUUAUGUUCACUUGCUCAUUCAAUGGCUUAAAUAAGUAACUUAUGAGCUCGACUACGGACAUGAUUCUUGGCAGUUAACACAAAGUUAUUAAGGGAAGUAGCUAAAUUUGACAAAGUGGGUGUUUUUUGUUUUGUGGAGCAGGGUUCCAUGCAAGAAACGUGGUGGAGUUAGAUUCACAAUCAAUGGAAGGGACUAUUUUGAGCUAGUAUUGGUAAGCAAUGUAGGAGGGGCUGGAUCAGUUCGAUCAGUUCAAAUCAAAGGGUCAAGAACAAAUUGGAUGACAAUGUCUAACAACUGGGGAGCCAAUUUUCAAUCCACUGCUUAUCUCAAUGGACAAUCCCUGUCCUUCAGGGUCACUGCAACAGAUGGUGUCACGAAAACAUUCCUAAACAUCGUUCCAGCCAAUUGGCGAUUUGGGCAGACAUUCUCAAGCCCCACUCAGUUCUCAUAAAGCAAAAGCUUAAGGAAAAGAAUUUUAGAGUUCUUGUGUUCAUAGGCAGUGGUGUGCUUAGAUAUUUUACCAAAAGCAGCCAUGUCCUCUUCUUUUUUAUUUUUUUUUCAGCAAUACUACUGGCAUAAGAAGAAAAGAUGGAAAUGUAUACUUCCAAUUAUUAACACAGCCUUGUCCACAGAAGAUUAAUGAGACUGUUUCUCUUUGUGGGUCUUUCGUUUUUUUUAUGUAUGGUUUUCUUUAUUUGUCCGGUGUAAAAAUAAUUUGUGCCCUCAAAUUGAAUCUCAGACGAUGAAAAGAUGGAAGGAAAUCCAAUCAAACACCAGAUGUUGGAUCAAUGUACGGCAAGCAAGAGCAAUGGAGUAAGAAUCAAAUUUAAAAUUAAACAUUGACAAAAUAGUAGAGCAGACAUUAAAUUCAGGAAAUGACAUAUAACCAGUUCAUAUUAAUCAUAAAUUCCGAAAUUCAAAAUCAAUUUAGCCAUUCCUGCUUAACCACAUUACCAAUUGAAAAUACUCAGACACUCAAAAUUCUUAAAAUAAAUUUGUGACUUGAAGUUAGGGUUUCGGCCAGAACUACAAACAUGGACCUAUGUUCAAGUCAAAUCAAACAAGGAAAUCACAAUUGAAGCCUCAAUCGUUCAAUUCUAUGGUCUCGAUAGCCAAUUUGAGAUUCUAACCUCAUAAAUCCAAUAAAAAAAAUACUGAAAAUGCAUCUAAAUUAAAACAUCAAAAAAGCAAAACAUCAACAAAAUCCGCAGCAAGAUGCAAUCAAAUUCCAUCGGCGAGACACAUUGAACACAUAUCAAUACCUUACUUAAGCAUAGAAAAAGCAGAAGAAGGAAAACCAGACUGCUAUUACAGGGAUUAAAUUAAGCGGGGAAGGCAGAAACAUACCUCAACGAAGCAGAAGAAGGCAAUUAAAAUGGGAUCAUUACACAAAUAGCGGCCAAUAUUC